rnacentral:rRNA from 1 species
GACGAACGCNGGCGGCGUGCUUAACACAUGCAAGUCGAACGGAGCGAAUGAAAGCUUGCUUUUAUAAGCUUAGUGGCAAACGGGUGAGUAACACGUAGACAACCUGCCGACAGGAUGGGGACAACAUUCCGAAAGGAAUGCUAAUACCGAAUGAAGUGCAGGGGAGGCAUCUCCCCUGCAUGAAAGAUGGCCUCUUUUUAUGCUAUCACCUGUUGAUGGGUCUGCGUCUGAUUAGCUGGUAGGUGAGGUAACGGCUCACCUAGGCGACGAUCAGUAGCCGGUCUGAGAGGAUGAACGGCCACAUUGGGACUGAGACACGGCCCAGACUCCUACGGGAGGCAGCAGUGGGGAAUCUUCCGCAAUGGGCGCAAGCCUGACGGAGCAACGCCGCGUGAGUGAAGAAGGUCUUCGGAUCGUAAAGCUCUGUUGAUGGGGACGAACGUGCCUAAUGCGAAUAGUAUUAGGUAANGACG